AACGAACGCUGGCGGCAGGCCUAACACAUGCAAGUCGAAGGAGAAGCCGGGCUUCGGCCCGGUGGGAAACUGGCGCACGGGUGAGUAACGCGUGGGUAUCUACCUCGGGUGGGGAAUAACCGCUGGAAACGGCGGCUAAUACCGCAUACGCCUUCAGAGGGAAAGCUCCGGCGCCCUGAGAGGAGCCCGCGUUGGAUUAGCUUGUUGGUGGGGUAACGGCCCACCAAGGCUACGAUCUAUAGCUGGUCUGAGAGGAUGAUCAGCCACACUGGGACUGAGACACGGCCCAGACUCCUACGGGAGGCAGCAGUGGGGAAUAUUGGACAAUGGGCGCAAGCCUGAUCCAGCCAUGCCGCGUGAGUGAAGAAGGCCUUAGGGUUGUAAAGCUCUUUCACCUGCGAAGAUGAUGACGGUAGCAGGAGAAGAAGCCCCGGCUAACUCCGUG
rnacentral:rRNA from 1 species